GAAAUGUGGGCGUGGAAUCUGGGAGAGAAAACUCUAAUGGAAUAUUUUUCUUAUGACACAUUCCCGUUAAGCCUUCAUUCCUCGGGUUUGGCUAAGGCCACCGUGGACAGAUUGGUGGGGGAAGUGCUGUUCUGAGAUCCUGGGUGUAGUCUUACAGUCCUAACAGCAAGGCAGCUUUCUUUCCCUGUCUCUGCGUGGGGAACAGAAUUUGUGCAGGCUCAAGUGUGCCUGGCAAGAAGGCCAAACUGAAAACACCUUCCACAGCUCUGGGGCCUAACGUUGAAUUUCCAUCUUCAGCCGCACGUUUUCCAGUACCUUCCAGGCAUGAGCCUAAGAAACAACAUCAGAGUGAAGCACACUGGCUUCUGCUUCACACAGGACAUGCUUCAUAAAGCCUGCGCUUCCUAUAAGAUCACACCUUCCACCUCAGCCCCUAGUCCUGGGACCAGAGCCACCAAGAGGACCUAAAUCAAGUUAUUAAUUGGCUUUCAACCAUAAGGAAGAACUUUCUUGUAUGCCUUACUUAUUUAUAUCAGCAUGGACUCAUGAAUUCUUAUUCAGAAAACCUCAAUACUUAAUAAAAAAAGAUAUGUGUCAUUAAA
rnacentral:lncRNA from 10 species